UUAAUUGAAACCAAAUUUUGAGGUAAAUCACUGUUAAUGAUUCCAUUGAGUUUUACUCCAAUUAAA
rnacentral:tRNA from 1 species